GACAGAGGUGCCAAGCGUUAGGCGGAAUCACUGGGCUUAAAGCGUGUGUAGGCGGGUCCGUAAGUGUCUUGUGAAAUCCCCCGGCUCAACCGUGGAACUGCUGGGCAUACUGCGGGUCUUGGGCCAACUAGGGGCAGCCGGAACAAGCGGUGGAGCGGUGAAACGCGUAGAUAUCGCUUGGAACGCCGAAGGUGAAAACAGGCUGCUGGGGUUGCGCCGACGCUGAGACACGAAAGCCAGGGGAGCAAACGGG
rnacentral:rRNA from 1 species